GGAAGCAUCUGGACUCCUGUCUUGGGACUGCCACAUCUGGAUACCUUCCCUGUAACAGCACAGGCCUUGCCUUGCCUGGGUUUCCCAUCUCUGGAACCCAUCAGCAUAACUGGAAAUCCCUCCCCCCACCUCCUUCCUCAAGUUACUGCAGGGUCCUAACACAUCUGGACUUAUGCCCUCAGAUCCCAAAUCCCUCCCUACCUCUUAGCACAGUAGCCAAGUUUUCUCCAACCCCACUUUCCUUCCCUUUAACACACAUACACACACACAUCUGAAUUGCCCCAUCUCAGCCCCCAGCUUGCCUUUCUCUGCAUGCCCACUCCAGGGAUUGCUGCCCAUCUGGAUGCACUGGGCCCCCUUACCUCCCAUGUGCCCCUACUACCCUAUAUGUUCUACGUGGGGUUGUUCUUUGUCAACGUCCUGAUCCUGUAUUAUGCCUUCCUGAUGGAGUACAUCGUCCUUAAUGUGGGUUUGGUUUUCCUGCCUGAGGACAUGGACCAGGCACUGGUGGAUCUGGGUGUACUCUCAGAUCCAGGCUCUGGGCUCUAUGACACUGACAGUGAGUUGGAUGUUUUCGAUGGCUACCUGGAGUAGGGGGAUCCUGGGGCUGGAGUCCCCCAGUCAGAGCCUUCCUUCUUCCCACAGGCCCUGCAGAGGAAACCUUCAGGCCUAUCGCAGCUUGUACUCCCUGGGCCAGAAUGCCUGGGACAGGCUGAUACUGUGGGUGACACAGGAGUUGCCACCGAUGAUGUCUUCCCUCCUUCAAAGGGAUCCGGGACAAUGCCCUUCCUGGUCCUCAAGACCUAUCUGCCCAUCUUGAAUGUGCACCACGAUGCAACUCCUGGGAUUAACGAGACUGAAAAGUGCUCAGGUUGGAAAGGCACACAGACUGGAAGAAUGGAAGGAAGAGCAACAGAAGGAGCCAGAUCACAGAUUCUUCCAAACAGAUAUUUCCUCAGUGACUGUCCAGCUGCAGUGUUGCACAAGAGGCCAAUGCCUUAGUUUAGUACCUUAACUGAUCUGGAUGCAUAUUUUUUAUGGAAAUCCAAGCUUUUCUCUUUCUAUAUUAUUUCUAGCAUCAGUACCUUGAAGGGUCAACUUUGGGGGAAAAUGUACUUAAGGCUGUUUAGCAAUGAACAGUAGUCUAUAUCAAUAAUUUGUUGUCAAUAAAGCCUAAAGUAGUUGAAAUGUUUAGAAUUUAGUUGGCCAUUAGUUCUAGAGAUGCUCUCAGGUGGGGACUCGAAAUCAAAAGAAUUAAGGAAAUGUUCCAGAGGUUUGGUUUGGUAGGUUGUCCCUUUUGUUUUCAAUCUGCUUGUCUUCCAUUGGUUUUGCAGAUCUCUCAACUGUUCUUUGGAAGAGAACUGGAAGAACUUGUGCAAAGAAUAACUUAAUUAUCCAACCCAAGAUACUUUGAAAAUGAUAGUAUUAUUUGAAUUCAACUCCCAUAAACCUGUAAAAGCACUCUGUGGAAAGCUAGCCUCUUUUGAUUAAAAA